rnacentral:rRNA from 1 species
CGCGUAGGCGGCCUUAUAAGUCAGAUGUGAAAGUCCACGGCUCAACUGUGGAAGUGCAUUUGAAACUGUGAGGCUUGAGUAUCGGAGGGGAGUGUGGAAUUCCCGGUGUAGAGGUGAAAUUCGUAGAGAUCGGGAGGAACACCGGUGGCGAAGGCGACACUCUGGACGAAUACUGACGCUGAGGCGUGAAAGCGUGGGGAGCAAACA